GGACAGAUGGCCGAGUGGCUAAAGGCGGCAGACUGUAAAUCUGUUCUCAUAUGAGUACGAUGGUUCGAAUCCAUCUCUGUCCA
rnacentral:tRNA from 1 species